CGGAAAGAAGCCUAAUGGUCGGGCGCUUUAUUUGGGUUAAAGAACGUCCAGGUUCGAUUCCUGGCUUUCCGA
rfam:Microbotryum lychnidis-dioicae p1A1 Lamole unplaced genomic scaffold supercont1.89, whole genome shotgun sequence.